ACAUACGACCAUAGGGUGUGGAAAACAGGGCUUCCCGUCCGCUCAGCCGUACUUAAGCCACACGCCGGUGAGUUAGUAGUUGGGUGGGUGACCACCAGCGAAUCCUCACUGUUGUACGUU
rnacentral:rRNA from 1 species